rnacentral:rRNA from 1 species
UAAAUCAGUUAUCGUUUAUUUGAUAGUACCUUACUACCUGGAUAACCGUGGUAAUUCUAGAGCUAAUACAUGCUAAAAACCUCGACUUCGGGAGGGGUGUAUUUAUUAGAUAAAAAACCAAUGCCCUUCGGGGCCCUUUGGUGAUUUUGGAUAACUUAACGGAUCGCAUGGCCUUGCGCCGGCGACGGUUCAUUCAAAUUUCUGCCCUAUCAACUUUCGAUGGUAAGGUAUUGGCUUACCAUGGUUUCAACGGGUAACGGGGAAUUAGGGUUCGAUUCCGGAGAGGGAGCCUGAGAAACGGCUACCACAUCCAAGGAAGGCAGCAGGCGCGCAAAUUACCCAAUCCCGACACGGGGAGGUAGUGACAAUAAAUACUGAUACAGGGCUCUUUUGGGUCUUGUAAUCGGAAUGAGUACAAUUUAAACCCCUUAACGAGGAACAAUUGGAGGGCAAGUCUGGUGCCAGCAGCCGCGGUAAUUCCAGCUCCAAUAGCGUAUAUUAAAGUUGUUGCAGUUAAAAAGCUCGUAGUUGAACCUUGGGCCUGGCUGGCCGGUCCGCCUCACCGCGUGCACUGGUCCGGCCGGGCCUUUCCUCCUGGAGAACCCCAUGCCCUUCACUGGGCGUGGUGGGGAACCAGGACUUUUACUUUGAAAAAAUUAGAGUGUUCAAAGCAGGCCUUUGCUCGAAUACGUUAGCAUGGAAUAAUAGAAUAGGACGUGCGGUCCUAUUUUGUUGGUUUCUAGGACCGCCGUAAUGAUUAAUAGGGACAGUCGGGGGCAUCAGUAUUCAAUUGUCAGAGGUGAAAUUCUUGGAUUUAUUGAAGACUAACUACUGCGAAAGCAUUUGCCAAGGAUGUUUUCAUUAAUCAGUGAACGAAAGUUAGGGGAUCGAAGACGAUCAGAUACCGUCGUAGUCUUAACCGUAAACUAUGCCGACUAGGGAUCGGGCGAUGUUAUUAUUUUGACUCGCUCGGCAC